CAGCCGCCGCGGGAAUACAGAGGGUGCGAGCGUUAAUCGGAUUUACUGGGCGUAAAGCGUGCGUAGGCGGCUUUUUAAGUCGGAUGUGAAAUCCCUGAGCUUAACUUAGGAAUUGCAUUCGAUACUGGGAAGCUAGAGUAUGGGAGAGAAUGGUAGAAUUCCAGGUGUAGCGGUGAAAUGCGUAGAGAUCUGGAGGAAUACCGUUGGCGAAGGCAGCCAUCUGGCCUAAUACUGACGCUGAGGUACGAAAGCAUGGGGAGCAAACAGGAUUAGAUACCCCUGUAGUCCCUGUCUCUUAUAC
rnacentral:rRNA from 1 species